AUGGGUGACUACACAAUCCGGAUAAGCACCAGCUUGAUCGAGCAGCUCGCGCGCGAUGACGAGAAGCAGAUGAAGAGGAGGACCAGGAAACCCAAGCCGAGGAAGGUCGUGGAGCAACCAGAGGAGCCUCAGGACAAUGGCAGGGAACUUCCAACUGAACCCAAGAGCAGCCCUGCUCCUGUUUUGCCUUUUCCGCCACCCAUGUACCUGCCAGUGACCCCCGCUCCUCCACCGCCCCCGCCCGUGAUCCAGGAGGUGGAAGCCAUACGCGCCGUGGUUGUGGAGAGCGAGAAGGUGCUGGAGAAGCUGCAGAAGAAGGAGGCGACGAUGCGCGAGGAGCUCACCAAGAGGGCCAAGGAGCUGCACGACAAGGAGUUCAAGCUGCCCUACCAGAACCCCUCGCCGUGCACCGACGAGAGGGCAGGCUGCGCUGAGUGCUACAGGAGCAACGUGCAGGACCCGCUCAAGUGCGCCGAGGCGGUCAAGAGGUUCGAGGCGUGCGUUCGCAUGGCGAUUCGGGGCGGUACCACCAUGGGAGCUGCUCAGUAG
rnacentral:rRNA from 1 species